rnacentral:lncRNA from 1 species
GUUUUGUUUAUAAAUAUUUCUCUAAUUUUUAUGCUAUUUUCACAUUUCCUGACCGGUGUGAGAAAAAUAUUUCUCCUCACUAGUGAAAAAUCUGUUCUCGGCAAAUGAUUAGUCGAAAUUUGAUUAUGACGUCAAAAUGUUUUGUUUUCUUCUCAAUUUUCCUAUUGUGACGUCAUGAAAAAAGGCGACCUUGCCUGAUGACGUCGCAUAUAAAGAGCACAAUUUUCUGAAAAUCUUUGAAAAAGAACGAUAAAAAGCAUUAGAGAAACAGAUUCCGACACUAUAACUCGUGUAUUACGAUAUUUCUCCACUCUCGACAGUUAAAUUUUAUUAUUUAAAGGACUCGGCAAGCCUCGUGCUUUAAAUAAUAAAAUUUAACUGUCUCGAGUGGAGAAAUAUCGUAAUACACUUGUUGCAGUGUAAGAAUCUAUAUGUAAUCAA